CCACUUCAUUUAGUUGUUUUUCUGGGGUUUUAUCUUGUUCCUUCAUCUGGUACAUAGCCCUCUGCCUUUUCAUCUUGUCUAUCUUUCUGUGAAUGUGGUGUUUGUUCCACAGGCUGCAGGAUUGUAGUUCUUCUUGCUUCUGCUGUCUGUCCUCUGGUGGAUGAGGCUAUCUAAGAGGCUUGUGCAAGUUUCCUGAUAGGAGGAGCUUGUUGUGGGUAGAGAUGGCUGUUGCUCUAGUUGGCAGAACUCAGUAAAAUCUUAAUCUGCUUGUCUGCUGAUGGGUGGGGCUGUGUUCUCUCCCUGUUGGUUUUUGGCCCCAGGUGACCCAACACUGGAUCCUACCCAAUCUCUUUGGUGCGGUCAAUAGUGGACUCUGGGAGGGCUCAUGCCAAGGAGUUCUUCCCAGAACUUCUCCUGCCAGUGUCCUUGUCCUCACAGUGAGACACAGUCACCCCCCGCCUCUGCAGGAGACCCUCCAACACUAGCAGAAUUCUACAGUGACAUCCUGACAGAAUUCUACAGGACCUCAGGCACAUUUCCAACCCAUUGCUGCCUGUGUGUCUUUGAGUACUGCCAACCCUUAGAAAGCAGUGAACUGGUGGAACUACACGCUAGUGGGUGGAAGAGCCCCAGUCUGGCAAUCGGGAAACAAAUGACUGUAGCAAGCCCACCCUAAGAGGCUCACGCAGAUGCCUUCUAGCUGUCAGCAGAGGGGUACAAUUUAUACCCCUUGCAGUCAGUCACAAGAAAAGAAGCAGCCCCAUUUUCCCAACCUAUAUAAAAGCAACAGCCUGAUUCACGAUACAAAGGGGAAAGACAUCUAUGGAUAAACAACAACAAUAAGAAAUAGAAAUUAUUUAAGGCAGAACAACAGAAUGUUUACUUAAGAAGAAAAAUCAAUUUGGAAAAACAAAAACUGGUAGCUUCCACUGAAAUAGAACCAAUAGAAAAGAUGAACAAAAUCUUUGGGCCAAAAGUAAUAAGGGACCUCAAGGAGAUAAAAUUAGAGCCCCCAAAAUACUUUUUAGAAUAAAUGAAUAUGGUUUCUGCUUUUUAAAAAAGUUGGAUUUAAAAAAUGAAAAAUAAGAGAAUGAUAAAUGCCAGUUGGCUAUUUAGGGUUCUCAAGGAUUAAGAGAAAGUGAUAUGCCAUAACAAAAACUUAACGCCCACAGAGCUGGAAUUUAUGAAUGAGAGAACAUGAGACAUGCAGAACAGAUUCAGGAGAUCUAAUGAGAGUGUUAUGAGAGUGUCCAGAAAGGCAGUGGAGGACAGAUAGAAAAUGGAUCAUUAGACAAAAAAUUUGUUUUAAAGGAAGCUACCAAAAAAGAAGGAAGCUACCCUGAAUUGUACAGUAUUCAGAUCAAAAGAAUUCACCAUGCCGUAGGCAGUACUGAUGAAUACACACACACACACACACACACACACACACACACACACAUCUAGACAUAUCAUAGCAACAUUUCUGAAAUGCAAGGAGAAAAAGAAAAUUUUACAGCUCUCAGAGAGAAAGUUACAAAAGAAAGAGAGAAGACACACUUUCCAAAUCAUCGUUCACUAGAGUUAAGUCUAUGUUGACGAUGGCAGAAUGAUUGGAAUUUUGUAAAAUGUAUUUUAAAAGAAUUGUUGAAAUAAAAAGACAUAAUUUAAGAGACAGCCUCAUAAUAGCAUGAUACUAAAAAUUCUAAAUUGUUUUAACUAAGGAUUUGGAGCAAGGGUGGAAGGAAGUGGGAAACUAAAUAUUUUCUAACGGUUUAAUUUCUACAUGAAGUGUGAAGACACAGCAAGUGAAACAUCUUGGGAAGAGAAUAUUCAACACUCCUAAAAUAUUCUAAAACGCUAAUUUUGAUUGGUAAAGACUGGAAGGGAAUCAAAUCAGAAGCUAAUUCUAAAUUAAUAAGGGUAAAGGGGAACAGAGAAACUUCCCCAAGACAAAAAAAGUGAAGUAAGAUAAAGAGAAGAAAAAAGUAAUGGAAAAGAAGAUAAAGUAAAAUUUAAGGAAUAAAACCACUGUUAUGUUACCAGAAUAAAUGUGCAGAAACACUGAAAAUAAAUGAACCGUUUAACUUAAGAAAAUAAAAGGAAAAAAUAAAUCAAAAUGGAAUUAAUCAUAAUAAAUAGUAUAUGUAGUGAAAAUAAUUAAAAUAGAAUAGAAGGGAAAUAUUGAAAGAAUAAUAAAAGCAAAAUCUAGGUUUUUUUAUGACUACUUAAAUAGAUAAGCAAACUGAAUAAGGAAAUAAGAAAUCUUAGGAGAGUAAUAUUAAGGAAUAUACAUGUGGAUAAGGUAUUACAAUUGCUUAGAUAAGCAAUUAAAAGUAUUAAAGAUAAUAUAACACACAACUUCCUAGCAACAUAUUUAGACAGCUAGAACAGUGCUGCCUAAUAGAAUUUCUGCAAUUAUGGAAACAUUCUCUCUUUGCAUGAUCCCCAUGGUAGCCUUUACCCUUAUGUGGUUGUGGAGCACUUGAAAUGUGGCUAAUAAGACUGGAGAACUAAACUUUUAAAAUUUAUUCAAUUUCAAUUAAUUUACAUUUCAAUAGUCACAUACAAUUAGUGGCUACCACAUGGGGCAGCACAGAGGAAAUGAUGUUCACCUCCUGAAUUUGACACAAGAAGAAAAUCUGAGUAGAUCAAUAUCAUACAAAAGAUCAAACAAUUGAAUAUCUGCUAAUUUAAAAGGCAAGAAGCCUAGACUGAACAGCUGAGUUCUUUCUAACCUUUAAAGAUCAGAUCAUUCCUAUGUUAUUUAAACCAUUUCAGGUAGUUUAAAAAUAAAUGGAAAUUUCUCUAAUUCAUUUUAUAAAGUUGGAAAAUCUUGAUCCCAAAUUCGACAAAAAUAAUACAAAAAACAAAACCAUAGGCCAAUUUCACUAAAGAAUAACAAAACAAAAUUCUAAAUAUUAGCAAAUCAAAGCUAGUAGCAUAUUUAAUGUUUCAUAACUAAGUUUUAUACUAAAAUUAUUGGUGUAGUUCAACAAGUGAAAAUCUGUCAACAUAAUUAAUUGCACCAUUAAGUUAAAAAGGAAAAAAACAUUCUUAUAACAACAGCUGCUGUAAAAGAAUAUGAUAAAAUGCAAACUCAUUCCUAAAACUACCUUAAUUUAAAAAACUUACUUAAACAUGUUAAAGGUUACCCAAAAUCAAUAGCAAAUUCUAUAAAUGGUGAAGUACUGUAACCGUUUCCAGUAAAUCAUAAAAAAGAAAAAUAUUAUCUUUACUGUUAGUUCAAAAUUAUUUUAGACUUCCUAGACAAAGCUUCAAAACAAUAAACUUAAAUACUAUAAAUUUUCAAGAAUACGCUGAUUUAUCUUUAUUUGUAAAUGAGUGAAUGCCUUAAAUGGUUUUCUGAAUUUAAAUAUUACAAUAAAUUUCAGGAAAAAAUUUAUGUAAACUUAGCAUGUGAGAGAUCUCUCAAGAAGUCAGGGACUCUGGAAUACUCAAAAUAAUGAAAGAAUAAAUCUGACCACCAAAAUCAAAAUAUUUCACAUGUCAGAAAAUAACAUAAAGUUAAAUACUAAUGAUUUAGAAAAAAAAUUUGUGACUAUGAGAAAGUGUAUUUAUUUAAUUUCUUACCAGUGUUAUAAAAGAAAAAGAGAAAUAAUUCAAUAAUUUAAAUAAUUUACCAAACUAUUUAUGAGAGAGGAAUUAAAACGGAAAAUGAGCAAAUAAAAGAUGGUUAAUCGUAUAAGUGGUCAGAAAUAUGUAAAUUAUGACUAUAGUGAGAUACCAUUUUAUUCACAUUAAAUUGGCCUACAGUUUCAAGAAAUGGUAUCAUCCAAUGUUGGUAGAAUGUUGAUUGGUACAGUCUUUGGGAAUUAAUCUUGCAAAAUUUAUUAAAAUUAAACGUACUAUGACUUAUGUUCCAAGAAGGUCACUUUGGAAUUUAUUCCACAGAAGUAAAUGUAUAUGUACAGGAGCUGCAUUGCAGCACUGGUUUUAGUAAUAUAGAGCUAGUAUGACACCCAUGGAUGGAAGAACUGUGAAAUAUGGUGUGACUAUUUAAAAGGUGCAGAUGUAAGCUAUCAUUAUAUAUAGAAUAGAUAAACAAGGUCCCACCAUAUAGCACCCAGAACCAUAUUCAAUAUCCUAUGAUAAACCAUAGUGGAAAAGAAUAUUUUUUAAAGGAUGUAUAUAUAUGUAUAACUGAAUCACUUUGCUGUACAGCAGAAAUUAACACAACAUUGUAAAUCAACUAUACUUUGAUAAAAUAAUAAAUGAAUAAAUAAAUAAAUAAAGGGAUGAGUUUGAGGUGUCUCUGUUGUCCUGAUGGGAUGUGUAUGUUGUACUGUUCAAUACAAAAAUCAAAUUAUAAAUUAAAGUGUAUAAUAUGAUUCAGUUUUUAUAUAAAAUAAAUCCUACAUAUGUGUUUAUAUGUUUCUGGGAACAUGAAUAAAAUUGUGGGAAGACACACCUAUUAGGCAGUGUGUUUGUUGCUGUUUGAUAUUUUCCCCUUUUUAAACUUUCUUUUAUAUUAUAUUUUUUUUAUUUUAAAGAGUAAAACAAUCUUACUGUAGCAAAUGAAGCUGUGUAGUACAAAGAUAUACAAAGGAAAGCUAAUUAUUGCCUGCAUCCCACCUCUCUGUUCCCUUUCUCCAAUGCUACUCUUUGUGAUAACAAAUGCCAACAAGCCUAAGGUGCAUCCUACCUCACCUUUAUCUUUGCUUAAACAAAUAUGAAUAUAUACAAGAAUGCACGUACAUAAUGGUUUGCUUCUGUGUAAGGAAAUAGAAUCAUACUGCACACAUUACUUGGUGACUUGCUAUUUUCACUAGGCAAUCUAUCGGGAAUAUUCCUGAUAAACAAGAGAAAUAUAAGUGUGGGUGUGUGCAUGUGUGGGGUGUAUGUCUUUAUUCCCUCUCUGAGCACUUUCACACACACAAUUUUAGUUGAGUGGAUACGUCACAAAUGUUGGGAGAAUUUUUUUUUCUUUUUUGGUAUCAGUUUAGAUUGAUUUUGUGUUUUGUUUUUGUUUUUUCACUGGCCACUCUUCUUUCCCUGUCUUUCAUAGGCCAGGCUGUUAAUACGAGAUAACUCAGAUGAGUAGAAAUUGAAGAAAAAAGAGAAAAAGAUGUUUACUUUUUAAUAAAUCUUGCUUUAGCUUCCUCUUUAAAAUGAGCAGUCAUCAUAGAUAACUAAUAAGAACCUGCUAUAUAGCACAGGGAACUCUACUCAGUACUCUGUAAUGGCCUAUAUGGGAAAAUAAUCUAAAAAAAAAAGAAGAAUGUGUAUAUGUAUAACUGAUUCACUUUGCUGUACACCUGAAACUAAUACAGCAUUGUAAAUCAACUGUAUGCCAAUAAAAAUUAAAUAAAUAAAUAAGUAAAUAAAAUGAACAAUUAUUGGUUUUGUAGUUUAGAUAAUCUAGCAGGGAAAAACUAAAGGAACAAUGAAUUUAUGCUGUGUACUAAUAUGUUCCGAUUUGCAUUCCUUUUAUUUCUAUCAUAUUUUUAUCAUAUGGUACUCCAUAUAUAUAAAGAGUAAUUUAGUAUUUAUAAUGUAUGUGGAAAUCCACCUAAAGAAAUAUAACAUGUUAAUCAGAAAUUGGGGAGCAGAGGGUGCUCAAUAAAAUAUUUAUUAACCCUGAAAAUUAUGAGGAGUCAUUUGGCAAGAACAACACAUAGCACUAGCAUGUAGAUGUAUAGUCUAUUUACUGAGACAGAUUAAUUCAUUGAAUUAAUAUAUCUACCUGUAAGUCAAUUCUGUGAGAAAAACAUAGUGUAAACUGUUUUCACCAUAAGCGAAAGGAUGGUUUAGAACACAAAAUACCAGCCUUGACAUAGUAUCUUUAGCUUUAGCUGUCUACACUUUGCAUACUUUGAGACUAAUAUAAUCCUAUUCCCUUUGGAAAAGCUCUUUACCAGCUGUCAUCAUUAAGAAGCUGUAGUGCGUAGUGUGUAGUGGGUAAGAGCAUGGGCUUUGGACCCAGACUUUCUGGAUUUGCAUCCUGGAUCCACCUCUCCUUAUCUGUGUGAUCUCUGUGCUCUAUUCCUUAUCUGUACAGCAGGCUUAAGGAUAGCAUUUACCUCCGAGGGUAAUGGGGAGGAUCCAAUAAAUUAAUGAUAUGUAAAGCUUUAGAACAGUGCUCGGCACCUACUUAGUGAUAAAUGUUUGCAUUAUUUUUGUUGUGUUGUUGUUAAGAUGUGGUUGGCCAUUAUGCAAUGGGCCAGUACCUAAGAAACAGUCAACCCAGCACUCUUCCCAGGAGACCCCUUGCCAACUCAAGUCAGGACAUUCACAAAGUGAACUCUCCUGGCUGAAGCAUCAAUCUAAGGCCAAGGUGAAUGGUAAAAGAUUCUGAGAAAGGCAAGAGGGUGAUAUUGAAACAUGAAGUUAGGUGAAAUUUUAAAAAUCUGAAAUCUAAAAUAUUUAGAAAGUUAAACUGUCAGCCAUGACUCUUACAGCUCCCAGUAUGUCUGCCUCCAGAAAUGAUUUCCCCAACCUUGUUCCUCAUCCUAAUUUCCCGCUUCUCAUCGUCCAUGCAUUAAAAUUUUAAUUAAGUUAAAAUUGUUUCUAAAAUAAGAGUUAAUAUCAUCUUAGCCAGAGACAAAAAUAACCUACUAUGGAUAGAAUGUAAGAGCUUAAUUUAAGAUACCUUUGUCAUACCUAUUUUGGAGCUACUCAACUGUUUGCCGUAUGAUUUUUAUUUGUUUAUUAUCAUGGUUUGUUUUUUGGGAGGUGGUUAUAUUUCAGAUAGUUGAGUAGUUUUAUGGAUCUCCUGGUAAGUGAAACACAGCUAAAAAACCAUUUUUCCUGGCAGCCAACACCCCCUUCCAACUUGCUUCACUCUGAACAUAAAAUGGUCUUUCUCCCAAACCUUUUAGUCACCAAGUCUCAAUCUUUAAAUUAUCUCUUUCAUUGCAUCUUCUCCAUUUCUAUCACCACUGUUGUUACUUCAAAACAGGAUUGCCAUCAAUGUCUCCUAUCUUGAUUAUCUGAUUCCUCACCAAUGCAUCCUAUAUCGACAUGAACAAGGGACUUCCUUCUCUCAAUAUAAUCUGUCUUCUCUUUUAAAUUCUGAAAUGCUCAAAGUCUGGGACCAUGUUACAUUCAUGUCUGUAUUUCCAGUUUUUAACCAUGUGCCCAAUACACAGCAACUGAGGGGGUGGAAGGAGAUCUUGAAUUUAAAUUUUACUUACAGGGCUAAGAGUGCUGCCAUUAAAUUAAACACUUUUACUUUACAAAGACUAGCUUACAAGCUCUUUUGGGUAUGAUGAGCUUGUUUAGGAAUCAGGCUUUCUUUGUUCUUUGUCUAUUCAACCUUCUCAAAUGUCUACUGCAUAUGCCAAGAGGAAAAUCUAAAUCUCUGCAUGGUCAUGAGUGAGUACUUGAAAACCUGUUUCCCCAACUGUUAGAGA